GAUGAACGCUGGCGGCGUGCCUAAUACAUGCAAGUCGAGCGAACAGACGAGGAGCUUGCUCCUCUGACGUUAGCGGCGGACGGGUGAGUAACACGUGGAUAACCUACCUAUAAGACUGGGAUAACUUCGGGAAACCGGAGCUAAUACCGGAUAAUAUAUUGAACCGCAUGGUUCAAUAGUGAAAGACGGUUUUGCUGUCACUUAUAGAUGGAUCCGCGCCGCAUUAGCUAGUUGGUAAGGUAACGGCUUACCAAGGCAACGAUGCGUAGCCGACCUGAGAGGGUGAUCGGCCACCCUGGAACUGGGACACGGUCCAUAGUCCUACGGGAGGCAGCAGUAGGGAAUCUUCCGCAAUGGGCGGAAGCCUGACGGAGCAACGCCGCGUGAGUGAUGAAGGUCUUCGGAUCGUAAAACUCUGUUAUUAGGGAAGAACAAAUGUGUAAGUAACUAUGCACGUCUUGACGGUACCUAAUCAGAAAGCCACGGCUAACUACGUG
rnacentral:rRNA from 1 species